rnacentral:rRNA from 1 species
CCUACGGGAGGCAGCAGUAGGGAAUCUUCCACAAUGGGCGAAAGCCUGAUGGAGCAACGCCGCGUGGGUGAAGAAGGUCUUCGGAUCGUAAAACCCUGUUGUUAGAGAAGAAAGUGCGUGAGAGUAACUGUUCACGUUUCGACGGUAUCUAACCAGAAAGCCACGGCUAACUACGUGCCAGCAGCCGCGGUAAUACGUAGGUGGCAAGCGUUAUCCGGUUUUAUUGGGCGUAAAGGGAACGCAGGCGGUCUUUUAAGUCUGAUGUGAAAUCCUUCGGCUUAACCGGAGUAGUGCAUUGGAAACUGGGAGACUUGAGUGCAGAAGAGGAGAGUGGAACUCCAGGUGUAGCGGUGAAAUGCGUAGAUAUAAGGAAGAACACCAGUGGCGAAAGCGGCUCUCUGGUCUGUAACUGACGCUGAGGUUCGAAAGCGUGGGUAGCAAACAGGAUUAGAUACCCGGGUAGUC